rnacentral:rRNA from 1 species
UACGUAGGUGACAAGCGUUGUCCGGAUUUACUGGGCGUAAAGAGCGCGCAGGCGGUCGUUCAAGUCGCGUGUGAAAGCCCCCGGCUCAACUGGGGAGGGUCACGCGAUACUGAUCGACUCGAAGGCAGGAGAGGGUAGUGGAAUUCCCGGUGUAGUGGUGAAAUGCGUAGAUAUCGGGAGGAACACCAGUGGCGAAGGCGACUACCUGGCCUGUUCUUGACGCUGAGGCGCGAAAAGCUAGGGGAGCAAACGGG